UCCCUGGUGGUCCAGUGGUUAGGACUCUGAGCUUCUACCACCGGGAUCCUGGGUUCAAUCCCCGGUCGGGGAA